UGGUUGAUUCCCUGCUCUUUAAGACAACAUAGGCAUGCAUGAAGAGAAGCUCUAUUCCUUGUGCUGCCAUGUAUACCUGAAUCAAUAUAUUUAAUGCAGGUCAGCAUGAAAAUUGCUUCACUGAAACUUAUGUGUAUAAUAAACUCUAUGUUCUGUGGUAGCUAGGGUUUCACUGGAAUGAAGCCAUGCAACAGCCAUUAUCUUUACCUAGAGGAGCUGAUGAAAGCAUUUAUCACCUGGGAUAAGUGCGCUGAGUGAAGCAGAGAUUUUCUUGAGUUUCAUGGCAGCUCCUCUCUCAGAUGCUGGAUCACAGAAACACACUCCUGUGUCCAACAAGAAGCGAUAUCUGAAGGGCACUUUGCAACCCAGGUCACAGAAAGACAGUCAAGGAGGGGAUAAGGGAAAGAAUCAAGCCACCACUUGACCAGCGUUAUUUCCAUCCUGUCAUGGGCUCCAGGGAAAGCAGAAAGUGAUUCUCGCGGAGCAUCUCUGUGGUUCAGACCCUGAGUGAAGAGUAACUGGGUUUUACUGCUCAAGAAAACACUGAGGUCCAACACAAGUGCCAUCGAUAUGGGCUAAAAAGCAUUCCCCGAAGCUAUAGGGUCCUACAUGUCAUGAAUUUUCAGCCAGUGUUUCAAGUGAAUGAAGGCCAUGGGGUGACUGCAUGUGUCCUGACGUCUUGCCUUUGAGGAAGGUUUGGGGAGGUUGAGGUGAGGAACUGGUGUCUGGGCAGGGAAGAAGUCCUGAAAACUGAAUGUUUCCUCUUCUUUAUGCAAAAGCCUGGGGAAGUGAUUUGACUGUGAGGCACGUGUGGUGAAAGUUUACAAUCAUGUCUCCAGCACAUAAGAAAGUAAGUACAAAAUCUGUAGUUACUUCUGCUAACUUGAUGAAUUGUGAGUGUGUACCAAAGGGGCAGAACUUACUCUUGGACCUAGCUCUGAAGGUGAAAUUCCUUCAUCCAAAGAAUGAAAUCUUAAUAGGGAUUUGUCUUAUUAUUUUAUUACAAAUCUCGAAAUGGUACAAAAAGAACAAGAUUUAGGAUUUAAGCUUGCCAUAACUGACAUAUUUAAACAAACAAAAAAAAAUGGCUAAU